rnacentral:rRNA from 2 species
CUAGCCGUAAACGAUGGGUACUAGGUGUAGGGGGUAUCGACCCCCCCUGUGCCGGAGUUAACGCAAUAAGUACCCCGCCUGGGGACUACGGUCGCAAGACUGAAACUCAAAGGAAUUGACGGGGGCCCGCACAAGCGGUGGAGUAUGUGGUUUAAUUCGACGCAACGCGAAGAACCUUACCAAGGCUUGACAUUGAGUGAAAGAUCUAGAGAUAGAUUCCUCUCUUCGGAGACACGAAAACAGGUGG